UGUUUCUCUCCAGGUGACCUAAGUAGGAUUUCACACACUUCUCACUUCUCUGCAUCAGAAGCUAAUCUGCUCUUAACAGCAGUGAGUAGUGAAAAAGCCUUUGUGAGUGCUGUGAGCACAGCGCUCCGCUGUCAGCCAGAGCCACUGGAAAAGAGGGAGAGAAGGAAGGAGCUGCAGAGGACGGCAGGCAAUAACCAGAGAUAGAGCCUGAGAUGUUUAAGAAGAGCUAUGCUCACCUGUGUUUCUAACAGUUCUUCUAAAGAGAAACUGGAGAAACCUGGAGCACAUGAAAGUAGUCAUCAACUAUAAUUGACAGCUGCAGCUCCAGCAUAUGUUAUAAAAGGUCACUACAGGAAAAGGAUUCCUGGGGUCAAGUGAGAAAGGGAUCCACUCUGCUGUGUUACAUUUUACAUCUAUUUUUGGCAAUUCAAGACUUCAACAAGGAGAUCAUUCAGUACAAGACAAUUGCAAUUAAGUGAAUACUAAAGGGUUCUACUAGAUAAAAACAUAGAAGUUCCUUCUAUUUUCCCACUAAUGUUGUGAACAUCACACAAAGUAAAAGAGGUCCAGAGGCCUUCCAGAACUUGCUGAAACUUCGCUCUCCCAUUCUGAUUUAUUCAUCCUCAUAAGACUGGUUGGUGAAUCAAAACAGAACUGAAGAGUCUACUAGCAGUUUCUUUUGAGAGAUCAGUAGUUCCACAAAUAAACUGAAUGCAUCUUGAAGAAAGAAAUAUCAUUUCUGUGCCAGAGUACAGCAUUACGUCCUCAGCACUGCCAUCAACAGGACAUUUCAGUAUCAGCUGCAUGUAUAUUUAUGAAUGGAUGAAUGAUACCAUCAAGCUCUUGAAAAGUGCUUUCAUCACAAGAUCUUAAAGUGUCUUACAAUGGUAGGAUUCUGUGCUUGAUUUUAAUUUUGAUGAAAUUGGGGCAAAAUAAUUCCCCUAAGAUCAUCAAGUUGGCCAUACAGCUAAACUUGCGCCCCAGAUCCAGGCACAGCUCCAUCCAUCCCUCUGCUUCUUUUAUACACUUCGGUGAAAGCAUAGGACUGCAUUUUUCAGAAACUCUCCACUCUGUUCUCAAUCUUGCUGCUCACAAGUGCUGUGCAAUUGAGGUGCCAAAGAAUUCCAAGGAAUGGCAGUAGUGGUUGUUUGAAAAGUCUUGGUUAUGCAGUUAGCUGAGCAACUAGGUUGAAUCAGGCAGUUGUAGGAGCGCCAAACAAAAACAGCGUUCUUGCUGAAACACAGUUAUUUGCAGUGCAAAAUGCUGAUAUAAAAGAUGUCAUGACAAAACAGUACCAACCCGAACUUAAACUAUGCACAUCUCUGAAUAACUGGCAAGAGAAACUUUUUUUCACUUCAUAAUAUUAGUUCAAGAAAUAUGUUGAAAUGUCAUAGUUUAUUUUUAUAUCUUUAAAUUUUUAUCUUUCUCCCUCCUGAAACAUAUUAGGCACCUUUGCAGUAGAAAGGCUAUUAGUAAAUGUACAGCUUAGCUACAUUCCAAAGUGCAAUAAAAACAUGAUUAGAUAAAACUACGCAUGUUUAUAUCACGCUCUGAAGCAUCAAUCUAAAAUAAGAUGCUUUUUGUGAUUGCAUGAAUGCCAUAAAGAAGAGGCAAACCCUAGAUAUAUAGUUAUAAGCACACCUAAGGAAGUUUAAAACUUAUUUCAGUAAAUAAAUUUAAAACAAUAAAAAUAUUUAUAUUUUACAGUAGAAAUCUGGUGAAACUUUUGGAGAAGGGGCAAAAUUGAAGAAAGAAGAGGGUCUUAAAAUUCUAUAAAAUAAUUUAUUUGCUGGGACAGUAAAGAAAAUGAUUCGGGAAGGGGUAAAACUUCCAGACUCUUCAGUUACAUUGCUUCCUGAUUUUCAAAGACAUAUUAAAAAAAAUCCAUAUAAGAGUUAAUAUAUUUUUACAACAUCUGUGUUUGAGUAUUUAUAUCUAAGGGUCAGACGUGAUAGAAAAGUAAUGAGACCAUGUUGAGAAAAAUGAGGUAGUCAACAGGAAAAUCAACCUCAUUUAUAAUAAUAUUCCUGUGAUCAGCAGGUGCAUAACUCUCCCAGCUACGGCCAUUAACUGCAUUCAUUUCACACUUAACAUCUACAUUUGCAAAUCAUUUGAAAGUAAAAUUACCUUCCAAUUCAAUUUUCAAUUUUAUUUUAUAUAUUCUACUUUGAUUGACUAUUCUCCUCACAAUGGUAACUGUAGCCAGAUUGCAAGUAAAUAGUAACAGCUACCCAAGAGUAUAGAUAAACUCAUCUUCUCAGAUUACCUAUUCACUUUGUUGUAUGUAUAAUCAUUUAUAGCCAUUUGUUAAUGUUCAAUUCAAGGCUUAAAAUGAACUUAGAAAAAAUGACAUUGGACUGUUGAAGAAAUGCUUCAUUUAUCAGGCUCACUUGUUCUUAAAAUGAAAGUGUUUUUUCUCCUUAUAAAUGACUUAACCUGAAAGUUUACCAAACAGGAAAGUGGGUAUUUUAUUAAUGUUGCUAUGCAAGAAGCAUACAAUUGCCAUACAAUUUAUUAUUCACAGAAAUUUCCACAGAUCCUGGUCAAAAUCCAGGCAGGAAACAAACAGGUACAUUUUAACUAUUAGUAUGUUAGCAUAUUAGAUUUUAGUCAUCUUCGAGCCUUCUUGUCUAUAAAAGUGAUUGUUCUUCAUAAAUACUGGGUAGUACCAACAUCCCAUUUUAGAGACAGAAAGAGCAAAGGAAUAUCAAUGGUUUUGUGAUUUGCCACGGUCACAAAUUCUCAAAUUUGCUUUUUCAGAGACAGUUUCUAUUUCAUUCAUGUUUUAUUUUACACAAUACUUGUAAAUUAGAGCUACUGAACUGGUAGCCUGAUCAUCUGAAAUCCUGAGCACUGAGUUUUGCCAUCAUUGAAACAGUUACAUUGAUAAUCAAUCAAAUAUCUACAGAACAAGAGAUGAAAGAGAGUCACAUGCUACCUGGGCCUAGAGAAUAAGUUAUGAAGAACCACCUUUCAUUUUAUAUACUGAAAUUUUCAAUGUUGGUAAUCAUUUUCUGGAAACAAAUAAGGAAACAAAAAACCACCCAUUAAACUCUUCUUAAACAGCAUCCAUAGAAUGGCAGUACGAUCGGUGUCAGGUUCAUUAAAAGAGAAUGAGGAAAUCUGAUUGCUAGAACAGAAGUGCUUUCCAAAUAUAAGCAAUUGUGAAGAACUGGAGACUCCUGAGCUCUUUCCGCAAAAUAAUCAACAUAUUUGCCAUCGAUUUCCCAACUGAAAGAAUGAGCUGAUAUUUUCAGUGAUCGAGAAUAAUUUGUUGUGACAGUUUCAUUUCAUUACUUUUAGAACUGUAUACAUUCCAAAAGAAACCAACAAACCAAGAAAACCAAACCAAAACAUUCUUGAAACGGUCAUUAAUUCUUCUAACACAUUCACAGAACUUCUAUUAAUAUGUUAACUUCUAGGUUUUGACAUCACCUUAUCUGUGUAGCUUUUUCUCUCUCAGUUUUGUAAUAAAUUCUGUUUAUAGGAAGUUCUUCUGAAACACAGCCAACUCUAUCAAUUCACUUAGAAAACUGUAACUCUAGAAAAUAGUUUUUGAUUUCCUCAGCAUAGAUGAAGUAUACAUGUAUAUAUUCUAAUGAGUAUUAAUAAGUGGAAAGUUCAGUGCAAACAUCUUUUCCAGAACGGAAACAAAUUACCCUUACCAUGCACUUAUUUAUGCCUGUAGCUAAUUCUGUUGUCUCUGUUAUUCAGUUUAUUGACUGUUAUUCUCUGCACUUUCUUUUUCAUUCCAUAAAUUUAUCUAUUUCAGAAAGACAAUCAGUCCUUUCAUAUUUACAAAGAAAAGGUUAUAUUCGCACCUGCUAUGUGUAUGUAAUAAAUACCUUAAUUAUAAACAAAUGUAUCACAUUUAAUCCAUUUAUUCUAAUUACGGAGUUAUAUGAACUGCUAAAAAGUCUGCCCUUUAAAAAGAACUACAUUUUCUUGCUCACAUCAGAUCAUGUUAUUUACUUUACUUGAACAUUUUGAACAACAAACUCUACCAACUAACUGGAUGGCAACUGUUAGGUCAUGACCUGAACCAGUGAUUGAGCACCUGGCAAAGGGGUACAGCCAGCCCUGGGAGCACAGGUGGAAGCAAUUCAUGUGUGUGACCCUGGGUCCACCCCCUCCCUAAUCACAUUUAAGGCCCAGCAGCUGCAAGAGAAGUACGUCUACUUGGAGACUGUUUGCUUUGGAGUGUUUAGAGAGUCCUGAUCCUUGGAAAGAGGUAAGUGAUUCCUUUAUUUCUGGAUUGUAACUGCUGUUGUUCUUGGGUCUAAAGCAAAACUGCCUGUCCUUACACAAACAUACACAGGAUUCAGUUUACUUGAAGUUACUUAAAUUGAUCCAGUAGUCAAAAUACACAUAAUUAACAUUAUCUUAAGUCUUAAAAA